rnacentral:rRNA from 1 species
CGUGCCUAAUACAUGCAAGUAGGACGCACAGUUUAUACCGUAGCUUGCUACACCAUAGACUGUGAGUUGCGAACGGGUGAGUAACGCGUAGGUAACCUGCCUAUUAGAGGGGGAUAACUAUUGGAAACGAUAGCUAAUACCGCAUAACAGUAUGUAACACAUGUUAGAUGCUUGAAAGAUGCAAUUGCAUCGCUAGUAGAUGGACCUGCGUUGUAUUAGCUAGUAGGUAGGGUAAAGGCCUACCUAGGCAACGAUACAUAGCCGACCUGAGAGGGUGAUCGGCCACACUGGGACUGAGACACGGCCCAGACUCCUACGGGAGGCAGCAGUAGGGAAUCUUCGGCAAUGGGGGGAACCCUGACCGAGCAACGCCGCGUGAGUGAAGAAGGUUUUCGGAUCGUAAAGCUCUGUUGUUAAGGAAGAACGAGUGUGAGAAUGGAAAGUUC